GACUUGGCCAACUUUGUGUUUCCUUUUCACUGGCUUUUGAAGAACGCUGGGACUCAAAGAAUGAAAGUAGGAUAUUCAGAUGAGGAACAGGGUAGCGAGCCACCGGAGAGAGUUCACAUGAAUAUUUUAGGCAUUUUUCAGAAGGAACCAUCUUGCUUUUACCAUUGGUGAGGACUAUUUCAAUUUCCAUUCACCUUGGGCAUCUGGGCAAGUGAUUAUCUGCAAAGUCAGGGAGGAUUUGACGAUGUUUGGAUAUGUUUUUGGUGAUCACUACAAAGGACAAGCUAACACCUUCAUUUGGAAUGUUAAGGUCUUACUGCUCUGAUGAUAGAAGCCAAAAAAGGCGCCAAGGUAGACAGUUAUCACAGCAGUUCUGAAUCAAGGUCCCUGUUUGCUUUC
ensembl:lncRNA